AACGUAGGAGACAAACGUUAUCCGGAGUUACUGGGCGUAAAGGGCGUGUAGGUGGUUUCGUAAGUCUGGCGUGAAAUUUCCCGGCUUAACCGGGAGUGGUCGUCGGAUACUGCGGGACUAGAGGACGGUAGAGGCGUGUGGAAUUCCGGGUGUAGCGGUGGAAUGCGUAGAGAUCCGGAAGAACACCGGUGGCGAAGGCGGCCUGCUGGGCUGUUGCUGACGCUGAGGCGCGACAGCGUGGGGAGCAAACAGG
rnacentral:rRNA from 1 species